UACAGAGGUCCCAAGCGUUGUUCGGAUUUAUUGGGCGUAAAGGGUGCGUAGGCGGCGGAGUAAGUUGGGUGUGAAAUCCCGGGGCUCAACCUCGGAAUUGCAUUCAAUACUGCUUCGCUUGAGCACUGGAGAGGAGGCUGGAAUUUACGGUGUAGCAGUGAAAUGCGUAGAUAUCGUAAGGAAGGCCGGUGGCGAAAGCGAGCCUCUGGACAGUUGCUGGCGCUGAUGCACGAAGGCCAGGGGAGCAAACGGG
rnacentral:rRNA from 1 species